rnacentral:lncRNA from 1 species
UAUUUUUUGGUGGAUCCAUGAAUAGUUAUGAACCUGUAUAUAUUGAAUCUGAAGACAGAGUUCAUAGGAAUAAAAUAAUAAUAUUUAUAUUUUUUUUAAAAAAAAUCAAAUUAUUGAGAAUACAGAAAUAAAAUAUUAAAAUAUAUUAUAAAUAUUUUAAAACUUUUUAUUCAAUACACUAAGAGUAGAUUACAUAAAUCGAGAACAUACAAACAUUAUUCAUCUUCAUUACCAAACUUUUGCUAUAUAUUUUCCAUUAAAUCAACUUUCAAUCGAUCAUGCUUCUCUGUAUCUCGAACUUCUCUGCGAAUGCCUGACAUAUCACCGACAUGGAUAUUUUCUCUCCUUUUCACCUUCGAACUUCUGCUUGACU